rnacentral:lncRNA from 1 species
CGCCGCGCGUCCCGGCGAGGGGCGGGGCCUCUCCCCCACGCGCGCCUUUCGCGGGAAAAUUCGAAGCCGCCGCCGGCUCGCUCCUCUCGCCGCGGGCAAGGGGGCGGGACUACAGCUCCCGGCGUGCCCCGCGCGCGGCGCCGCGGGCCGGCGCAGCCUCUGGGCGCCGCGGGGCGCGGUGGGGGUUGUAGUCCCGCUGGGUGCUGCGGUGGGGCCGAGGGAUUCGUGGGGUCCCCGGGGGGGCCGCGGGUUGGAUGCCCGUGGGGUGCCACGGCCACCCCUCUUCUCCAGGAGGUGCAAUGGGAAAAUGCCCUGAAAAGGCCCAUUUCAGCCUGCAUGCCCUCUUUCCUCCUAGCAAGCCUCCGCCAUGCCCCAUGACGCCUGCCGUGCCCACCCGGUCCUCCAGCCCCGCUGCCUCCCGCAGCCACCCCUUGUGCAGGGGCACGAGCACCGCUUCGUUAUGUUUGAUUGCCUGGUCAUUGUUGUUUCAGCAUGGCAAAGCCCCCCACAUCAUCUCCCAUCUCCCAGGGCCAACUCACAUCUCCUUCCUAGACACCGACACCCAUUUCAUGCCCACAGGUUCAAGGGCACGAGGUGGGCACAAUUAUCCCACCCCCCUGGUGCACCACUCUGCACCAUGCCCAUACCCCACAACCAACCACCCAAAACAGCCCGGCCAGCCACGGGGCUCGCUGCCUUCCUGCUCGCCUUUCCCGGCCCUGCCUUGCACAUUCUGGGGAGUUUUGGCUUCCUUUCGGGGUCCUCCCAGCCCCUGGAGCCCCGGGCAGCUCCCCCAGCCUCCAGGGAUUCGGUCGUGCGGGAGCAAAGCCGACGUCGUGAAUCUCCACUUCUGCCACGCACGGAGAGGCUCCAAGCACCGCUCCCCAUCCAGCCAACGCUGGAGGAAAUGUUGUAACCACCUGAAGUCACUCACGGGAACUUGAAAGGGUGGCAGCGUUUUUGCUGGGGAGGAGAUCCAUGUGGGAACAGCUGACUUCAAAAGGUGGGAGUUUCGCCACUGCCUUCAAGAAGACACCAUUAGGCAGCUCUGGCCUCCCCGUUUACAUCCUUCUCUUUUCUUUCUUUUUUUUUUUUUUAGGAUUUUACCAGGGGAGGAACACUUUUGUGACUCAGGCAACCCGUGAAUACCGGAACAUAAAUUUCCCCCAGCAGUGUUGGGAACACAAGGCGAGCCUUAAUCUGCUCAUGAAUGAGGGCUGCAAAGCGAGCCCGGCCCCGUUCCGACAUCCGAAGGGAUUGAAUUGCAAAAAGGAAGCAGGCAGCCAUCGCUGCCGAAGGAGAGGGAUUUUGUAAAAGUCCUUCUGCUUUAGCGCAAAUAAAUAAUGCAGUGGCCGGCUCCUGGCUGGAGCG